rnacentral:tRNA from 1 species
UACUCACUAUCGGAGUUGAACCGAUACCCCGAUAAAAAGGCGGGAACAGAUUUUGAGUCUAUCGUGUCUACCAAUUUCACCAAG